AGGACGAACGCUGGCGGCGUGCUUAACACAUGCAAGUCGAGCGGAAAGGCCCUUCGGGGUACUCGAGCGGCGAACGGGUGAGUAACACGUGAGGAACCUGCCCUGGACUUUGGGAUAACCCUCGGAAACGGGGGCUAAUACCGAAUAUGACUGCCGGCCGCAUGGUUGGUGGUGGAAAGUUUUUUCGGUCUGGGAUGGUCUCGCGGCCUAUCAGCUUGUUGGUGGGGUAAUGGCCUACCAAGGCGACGACGGGUAG
rnacentral:rRNA from 1 species